CAGUCGCCACGGGAAUACGGAGGGUGCAAGCGUUAAUCGGAAUUACUGGGCGUAAAGCGCACGCAGGCGGUCUGACAAGUCAGAUGUGAAAUCCCCGGGCUUAACCUGGGAACUGCAUUUGAAACUGUCAGGCUGGAGUCUUGUAGAGGGGGGUAGAAUUCCAGGUGUAGCGGUGAAAUGCGUAGAGAUCUGGAGGAAUACCGGUGGCGAAGGCGGCCCCCUGGACAAAGACUGACGCUCAGGUGCGAAAGCGUGGGGAGCAAACAGGAUUAGAGACCCGCGUAGUCCCUGUCUCUUAUAA
rnacentral:rRNA from 1 species